GAUGAACGCUGGCGGCGUGCCUAAUACAUGCAAGUCGAGCGAACGGACGAGAAGCUUGCUUCUCUGAUGUUAGCGGCGGACGGGUGAGUAACACGUGGAUAACCUACCUAUAAGACUGGGAUAACUUUGGGAAACCGGAGCUAAUACCGGAUAAUAUUUUGAACCGCAUGGUUCAAAAGUAAAAGACGGUCUUGCUGUCACUUGUAGAUGGAUCCGCGCUGCAUUAGCUAGUUGGUAAGGUAACGGCUUACCAAGGCAACGAUGCAUAGCCGACCUGAGAGGGUGAUCGGCCACACUGGAACUGAGACACGGUCCAGACUCCUACGGGAGGCAGCAGUAGGGAAUCUUCCGCAAUGGGCGAAAGCCUGACGGAGCAACGCCGCGUGAGUGAUGAAGGUCUUCGGAUCGUAAAACUCUGUUAUUAGGGAAGAACAUAUGUGUAAGUAACUGUGCACAUCUUGACGGUACCUAAUCAGAAAGCCACGGCUAACUACGUG
rnacentral:rRNA from 1 species